rnacentral:lncRNA from 1 species
UAUACACAACUGGUUCUUUUGUAAGUUGCAUACUGCUCCUACUGUUGACAAGAAGGCUCUCCCAAGCAAUAGAGAAGAGUUCCAGUUUAACUUGAUGUCCAGGACAUGAAAAUCAACUGGAACUAAAGUAUUACCAAUCUGCACCUCUAGGACUUUCACAAUCCCUCCUGAAUUCUUGUAAGAGCAGUCCACAAAAGUGAACAGCUCAUUGGAAGGCUCCAUAUGCAGACCCAGAUGGUCUGCCAUAACCCUAGGUAAGAUGCUGACU